GACGAACGCUGGCGGCGUGCUUAACACAUGCAAGUCGAGCGGUAAGGCCCUUUCGGGGUACGACGAGCGGCGAACGGGUAGGAGUAACAACGUGGGUGGACCUCGCCCUUACGUCUCUGGGAGUAAAGACCGUCGGGAAAACGUAGGGUCGUAAUAACCGGACGUAUGACUCCAUGACGCAUGUUGUGGGGUGGAAAGACCUUGUGCGGC
rnacentral:rRNA from 1 species